ensembl:lncRNA
AGUCUGGAGGGGGCCUGGCACAGUUGAGGCCUCCUCUGGGUCCAGACCAAAGGGGGCCCAGGCUGGAGGAGGACCAGGCUCAGUUGGGGCUGCUUUGGGGCCCAGGCUGGAGGAGGACCAGGCUCAGUUAGGGCUGCUUUGGGGCCCAGUCUGGAGGGGGCCUGGCACAGUUGAGGCCUCCUUUGGGCCCAGUCUGGAGGGGGCCCAGGCAGAGCCAGGGCCUCAGGGCCCAGGCUGGAGGAGGACCAGGCUCAGUUGGGGCUGCUUUGAGGCCCAGUCCGGAGGGGGGCCUGGCACAGUUGGGGCUGCUUUGGGGCCCAGGCUGGAGGAGGACCAGGCUCAGUUGGGGCUGCUUUGGGGCCCAGUCCGGAGGGAGGCCCGGCACAGCCAGAGCCUUGUGGCAGCAGUCCAACUCUCAAGUUCAACCUUUAACCAUAACCUAAAACGGUAACCGUAGUGAAAGGUAGUGGCAGAUAGAGCUGCUUUACUGUGUUUUAAUUUUCCCAAGAAUAGUGAAGGACUCAAGCUAGUAAAGAAAGACCCCUUUCUGAAGAGCAGGACUCAGAAGGUAUUACCAGAGAGCAGAUCUCCCAGUAGAGAUUCUUCCCCUUAGACAGCCAGCCCUUAAAUGAGGUUAGGGAGGGCUGGGACCAGGCUCCACCCCUUUUCUGCACAGGUGAAACGCUUCCAGCUGUGCUCCGCAGCAGACCAUGUUUUAACAAAGGUGAAAGCCUGUGAAACAAAAGAAUCCCUUCUUACUUGUUUCACGUUUGUGUUUGUUGACCGCAGUUCCAACCAGGUGGACUCUCAAUGUCUUGCAAGCGACACCUAGAAGCAGGUACAGGCAGGAGGCACAGCACCCUGCAACCUCCAGGGGCCUUUGUGCAAAUGUUCAUGUCCUACAAGCACGUGGCGGAGCGCGUCCUGGGAUCAAGGUGCCAUGGACUGGAAAAUGCAGCUCUGGACAUACAGGCUUGGCGGAGUUCCUGUGUGAAGACAAAACUCCCAGUACUCCAGAAACGUGGAGGCAGAAGAGCAGUGACAAGGUGUCAGGGAAUCGUCCCCCACUGUGAUGGUGCCCACAGCAAGGGACAGAGCUCUGCGCCUGCCCUGGGAGGACUCUCACCCUCCUGAGCUGCCCAACAGGAUGUGCUCACUGAGAGAGAUGAUGCCUUUGGUGUUCCCUCUCCAGAUGCUCAUCUGGAUCCAGAUUUUGCGCCUCAGGGGAAACCCAGAGGCCCUCUUGGUCAAUCUGCAGAGUGGAAUCCUGACCCUGAGCCUGGUAUGGAUGCUGGAGAAGUGCCCCCAGGGAAGGCCUUGCCAAGUCCUCGGCUCUUUCCUGUGCUGGAGCCCCGCUGGAAUCCCAGGGGUCUGGAAAAAGGAAAGGAUGCAUCUAGAAGAGGAAAAUACUCACAGAGGUCAGCUCGUGUGAUAAAGGAACUGCUGAAGGAAAUGGAGAAGGCAGCGCGUGGGACUGACCAACAAACUGCACAGGACGCGCUGCAGGAAGGCAGCCAUCCCACGCUGCCAGUCUGGGACAGAGAAACACAGACAGUGCCAACAACUGGCAUGCCAGGGAUGAAUGCUGGGAAAAACACAAGGGCUGCGGUUCAGGAGUUUGUACAAGUGCUCUUCUUCCCAGUGAUUGCACUGCUUUUAACAGUGCUGCUGUCUGCGCUGGUGAUGACUUGUACUGCUGUGUCAUGGAUGUGGCAAAAAUAUCCAGUGUGCAAGAGAGCAGGGACAACUCCAGGACAAGCUCAUCCUGACAGUGUGCGGGAGAGAGGCCAGUCUGGAGGUGAAGGCAGAGCGGAGCUGGGAGAGGCAACAAAAGAUGAUGUAGUUGCCCAAGAAAACAAGAACUUGUACAGCGGAUCCAGCCCGUUCCCCUCCUCCUUUGAAGCAGAGUUUGAAUACCUGUGCAGCAAAAUCCGCACAGACCCUUCACUUUGGCCCACGUGUCCCAGCAGCUCUCCCAUGGACAGUGUCUCUUCCCCAGAUACCCGUGGUUCUUGGGGUUCCCCAUAGCCAUCUAGUGCCCCGGUUACCUGUGUCAGCAUGGCUGGGGUUCCCUGGAAGACCCCACUUUCUGAGUAAUAAAGACACCCUGUG